GGCCUACACAUGCAAGUCGAACGGUAACAGGAAGCAGCUUGCUGCUUUGCUGACGAGUGGCGGACGGGUGAGUAAUGUCUGGGAAACUGCCUGAUGGAGGGGGAUAACUACUGGAAACGGUAGCUAAUACCGCAUAACGUCGCAAGACCAAAGAGGGGGACCUUCGGGCCUCUUGCCAUCGGAUGUGCCCAGAUGGGAUUAGCUAGUAGGUGGGGUAACGGCUCACCUAGGCGACGAUCCCUAGCUGGUCUGAGAGGAUGACCAGCCACACUGGAACUGAGACACGGUCCAGACUCCUACGGGAGGCAGCAGUGGGGAAUAUUGCACAAUGGGCGCAAGCCUGAUGCAGCCAUGCCGCGUGUAUGAAGAAGGCCUUCGGGUUGUAAAGUACUUUCAGCGGGGAGGAAGGUGUUGAGGUU
rnacentral:rRNA from 1 species